AUCCCACCAUUUAUAUAGCGA
rnacentral:miRNA from 1 species